CACCGCGGUUAUACGAGAGGCCCAAGUCGAUAGUCAACGGCGUAAAGAGUGGUUAGAUAGAACCCAAAACUAAAGCCGAACGCCUUCAAAGCUGUUAUACGCACCCGAAGGUAAGAAGCCCACCCACGAAAGUGGCUUUACAAUCUUGAACCCACGAAAGCUAUGACA
rnacentral:rRNA from 1 species